rnacentral:rRNA from 1 species
GUCUAUGGCCAUACCACCCAGAAUGUGCCCAAUCUCAUCUAAUCUCGGAAGCUAAGCAGGGUCGGGCCUGGUUAGUACUUGGAUGGGAGGAUUGGAUUUAUUCU